rnacentral:lncRNA from 10 species
GCCCCAUGACAGGAGGGGCAAUCCGCAGCCCUCACCAUUUCCUGCCCCAUCCCAACCCACACAGGGCCUCUUCUAUGGGCUGCAUUCUGUAAUUGGCAGUUAUAUGGAUUUACAGAUACAGUUGAAGGUGUUUUUAGACAGCUGUACAGAAGACAUAGACAUUCCAGCCUUACCCCAAGAACAUGACCGACCCAGAAGAGCCUUUGAAUGUGCUGAGGACAUGUGCUGAAGUCUCAAAGAAGCAAGGGUGGAAUGGCUGUCCAAGAGCCUCUCAGGUUCUCUAGGGCAAGGGCAAGAGGGCUGGCAUGAUGGGUUUCACUAGGAUAACUAGGAGAACUGGCUGUGACUACGAUGGCCAUCUAUUCUUUGCUGCUCAGCAUCCCUUACUCUUUCCUGUAGUAACAACUACACCCCAAUUCUGCUUUGGGAAACCACCUUUCCCUAACAGACACAGUCAUGGUGGGACAAUCAUCGGAGUGUGGGGCUCCCUGCUCUGGUCAACGAUUUAGCACUCAAGCCAGGACAAUGACAUCUUGCCCUAGAAUCUCAACCACCGACUCUAAGACUGAGCAACAGCACAUCCCAGCAGGAGCACCUAGGUGCUUCUGUCCGUGGGCUCCUACCACCCAGAUCCCCAGAGAUCCUGUUUUUCCUAAAAUAUGCUUCUCCAGUUUGUCCUUUGAUCCUAUCACCUACCCCAGAUCCUUCCAAAAGCUCCUAUUUUCUUUCCCAAGACAGGAAGCCAUACCACACCCUAUUCCCAGAGCACGUCUGUAACCAGCAGCCACAAUCUAAAGGUUAGCAGGGAAAGCUUGCCAAAUAGUUUAGGAUUCUCUCUGGUCGGCCAAUACCUGUUAACCAGGCAGCUCCUUCCUCCACCUCUCCAGGCCCUGAAUGUCUUCAGAAGUCCCCAGGAGCCUCAGCAGAAGAUCCUAUCUUCCCUUCCACUGUGAAGAAGAUGCCCGGAACAUGCCAGGCACAGGCCUGUGACGCAGACAGGACCUGAUGUAUCCCCUGCUCACAGGUCCCCAAAGGCAGGGCUGAUUUCCGUCUGUGUAUGGAAGAACAGUUACAAAGCUCUGCCUCCUACUAGCUUUGCAACUUUGGGCAACUAACCUAACCUCGUUGUGCCUCAGUCUCCUCCUCUGUAAAUGGAAGUAAUAAUAUUGCAUACGGCAUUGUGGUGGGAUGAAGAUUAAAUGAGUUAAUGCAUACAAAACACUUAGAAUGUUGCCUGGCACCUGGUUAAUGUUAACUAUUGUGAUUAUUGUCAUCACCACCACCCCAGCUUCGGCAACACCAUCACCCGCCACCAUCCUAGCAACAGCAUCAUUACUUAUCAUCACCACCACUCUCUUCCUCAGCACCCUCACACAGCAGCAGGAGAUGGUGAGCACUCACCGGGUGUUUGCUGAAUCUGACUCCUCUCUGUAACAUCUGAGUGUGUAAGUGGCAGUCAUACAGAACUUCAGAUGUGCUGAGUAUCAGCACAAAGGGCUGCCUAUGAUGAGAUUGCUGGUAAAGAGCUAGAAUCUCAGUUUGCCCUGAGACUAGACUGUAUCAUACUGCUUUUUCCCUCUUUUUUUUGGUAGAGACACUUUCUUGAUAUGUUGCCCAGGCUGGUCUCGAACUUCUGGGCUCAAGGGAUCCUCCUGCCUCAGCCCCCACUCAAAGUGCUGGGAUUAUAGGUGUGAGCCACUGUGCACGGCCCCCGUACUUCUUGCUGUGUCCUUCAGAAGAAAUACCCGUCCUGCUCCCUGACUCAAUUUGUGGCCCUAAUAAAACAGCAAGCUGCUAGGACUACUACAACACACAAAAUGUGGCCCUGAGUAUACACCCAUAUCAUUAUAUGCCCUCAGACACCGACAAUCCAUGAGGCUAAACUUCCCCAUGCCUAGGCCUCCAGAGACCAGAACAUGCUGUAGGCCUUUCGGUACAACAGCUGCAGCGUGCCACAAGAUGGGCAAUUCUGCACCCCAGACUCAGGCAGACCUGAGUACAAAUUUUGACUUAGGCCUUUCCAGCUGUGUGGCUUUGGGUAAAUGCCCAUCUCUGAGUGUCUGUUCACUCCUGUAUCAAAGGGAGACAAAUGGUAACACUCACCUCUCGGGGAGUCCUGAGGAUGAAAAAAGAUCGUCCGUGUGAAAACAGACUAUGUAAGUUAUGGCUAUGUAACUUAUAGGACCAAAUGCAAAAUGAAAUCAUGGGG